UACAGAGGGGGCAAGCGUUGUUCGGAAUUACUGGGCGUAAAGGGCGCGUAGGCGGCCGCCUAAGUCAGGCGUGAAAUCCCUCGGCUCAACCGGGGAACUGCGUCUGAUACUGGAUGGCUUGAGUUCGGGAGAGGGAUGCGGAAUUCCAGGUGUAGCGGUGAAAUGCGUAGAUAUCUGGAGGAACACCGGUGGCGAAGGCGGCAUCCUGGACCGACACUGACACUGAGGAGCGAAAGCCAGGGGAGCAAACGGG
rnacentral:rRNA from 1 species